GCACAGGUAGUUCAGUGGUAGAACUCCUGCCCGGUAUGCGGAAGCCCCGGGUUCGAUUCCCGGUCCUUUGCU
rnacentral:tRNA from 1 species